rnacentral:rRNA from 1 species
CCUGACUGCUAUCGGAUUGAUACUAAGCCAUGUGAGUCAUUGUAGCAAUACAAGGCAGACGGCUCAGUAACACGUAGUCAAUCUACCCUAUGGACGGGGAUAAUCUCGGGAAACUGAGGAUAACACCCGAUAGAUCAUUAAUCCCGGAACGGUUUAUGGUCCAAACGAUUCGUCGCCGUAGGAUGGGACUGCGGCCUAUCAGCUUGUUGGUGAGGUAAUGGCCCKCCAAGGCUAUUACAGGUACGGGCUCUGARAGGAGAAGCCCGGAGAUGGGUACUGAGACACGGACCCAGGCCCUAUGGGGCGCAGCAGGCGAGAAACCUUUGCAAUGUGCGCAAGCACGACAAGGUUAGUCCGAGUGUUUCCUGCUAAAGGAAUCUUUUGUUAGUUGUAAAACCACUAUCGAAUAAGGGGUGGGCAAGUUCUGGUGUCAGCCGCCGCGGUAAAACCAGCACCUCAAGUGGUCAGGAGGAUUAUUGGGCCUAAAGCAUCCGUAGCCUGUUCUAUAAGUUUCCGGUUAAAUCCACUAGCUCAACUAGUGGGCUGCCGAAAAUACUGUAGAACUAGGGAGUGGGAGAGGUAGACGGUAUUCGGUAGGAAGGGGUAAAAUCCUUUGAUCUAUUGAGGACCACCUGUGGCGAAGGCGGUCUACCAGAACACGUUCGACGGUGAGGGAUGAAAGCUGGGGGAGCAAACCGGAUUAGAUACCCGGGUAGUCCCAGCUGUAAACGAUGCAGACUCGGUGAUGCGCUGGCUUGUGGCCAGUGCAGUGCCGCAGGGAAGCCGUUAAGUUUGCCGCCUGGGAAGUACGUACGCAAGUAUGAAACUUAAAGGAAUUGGCGGGGGAGCACCACAAGGGGUGAAGCCUGCGGUUC